UGGACAUUUAGUUUAAAGAAGUUUCUUCUUACACAAAGAUAACUCUUUGUAUAUGUCCUUGAGAAAUAAUAGUAGUUUUCUGUGUACCCUUUGCAAGGAAAAAGGACACAUCAUUCCACUACUGACAUUU